rnacentral:lncRNA from 1 species
GAUGUAUUGAUUUCAUAGAUUCUAUCAAUAGCAUUUUCUUUAUGCUCAUUCAUAACAUUUAUCUCUAUAUAUCUGGCAAUCCAUCUUACUGUGUUGACUUAUUUCAAAGUAGUUUAAGAAAUCUGUUUGCUUCCCUUAAUUAUUCCAUUAUACAGUAGACUCUUGAACAACACAGGGGUUAGAGGUGUCAACCCCCGUGCAAUUGAAAAUAUGUGUAUAACUCCUGAAACCCCUCAAAUUUAACUACUAAUAGCCUACUGUUGACUGGUAGCCUUAUAACAUAAACAUCAAUGUAUUUUGUAUGUUAUAUGUAUUAUAUAGUGUACUCCUACAGUAAAGUAAGCUAGAGAAUAGAAAAUGUUAUUAAAGUUAUAAGAAGAGAAAAUAUACUUAUUGUUCAUUAAGUGGAAGUGGAUUAUCAUAAUGGUUUUCCUCUUCAUUGUCUUCAUACUAAGUAGGCUGAGGAGGAGGAGAAAGAAGGGGCAUCGGUCUUGCUGUCUCAAAGGUGGCAGAGGUGGAAGAAAAUUGGCAGUGGUCAAGAGCUUUCCUUUGGCAUAAGAAGCUCAACCCAAUACCAUCAUCCCAGUCUCACUUUCCUGACCAACAUCUGCACUAUGUGUCCUUUGAGUAUGAGGUAAGGUUUAAUCAAAUCAGUAGAAACUUGGCUGUGACCUGAAACACUAGUCAGUCAAGGAUCAUGCCCCAUCCACCUGGCCUUUUUACUAUAGGAUUAAUGUUGAAAUACUGAAGACCCUGUGACAAAGAUCAGAUUUACUAUAAACACUAUAAUUUAUUAUGGAAAAUUUUAAUAAACUGGGUAUUCUGUUGCUCUGGUGUUUUAAUUCCAUGUCAGUAAUGGAGGUAGGGAAUUAAAUGGCUUCUCAGUGACACCUCAAGUCCCUAGCUAGUUCUCAUCUCCAAUGUCAUACUUGUAGUAAAUGGCUGGGUUAUGUAU